UGGCAUGCGGGUGCUAUACAUGCAAGUCGAACGCUUCUUUUUCCACCGGAGCUUGCUCCACCGGAAAAAGAGGAGUGGCGAACGGGUGAGUAACACGUGGGUAACCUGCCCAUCAGAAGGGGAUAACACUUGGAAACAGGUGCUAAUACCGUAUAACAAUCGAAACCGCAUGGUUUUGAUUUGAAAGGCGCUUUCGGGUGUCGCUGAUGGAUGGACCCGCGGUGCAUUAGCUAGUUGGUGAGGUAACGGCUCACCAAGGCCACGAUGCAUAGCCGACCUGAGAGGGUGAUCGGCCACAUUGGGACUGAGACACGGCCCAAACUCCUACGGGAGGCAGCAGUAGGGAAUCUUCGGCAAUGGACGAAAGUCUGACCGAGCAACGCCGCGUGAGUGAAGAAGGUUUUCGGAUCGUAAAACUCUGUUGUUAGAGAAGAACAAGGAUGAGAGUAACUGUUCAUCCCUUGACGGUAUCUAACCAGAAAGCCACGGCUAACUACGUGCCAGCAGCCGCGGUAAUACGUAGGUGGCAAGCGUUGUCCGGAUUUAUUGGGCGUAAAGCGAGCGCAGGCGGUUUCUUAAGUCUGAUGUGAAAGCCCCCGGCUCAACCGGGGAGGGUCAUUGGAAACUGGGAGACUUGAGUGCAGAAGAGGAGAGUGGAAUUCCAUGUGUAGCGGUGAAAUGCGUAGAUAUAUGGAGGAACACCAGUGGCGAAGGCGGCUCUCUGGUCUGUAACUGACGCUGAGGCUCGAAAGCGUGGGGAGCAAACAGGAUUAGAUACCCUGGUAGUCCACGCCGUAAACGAUGAGUGCUAAGUGUUGGAGGGUUUCCGCCCUUCAGUGCUGCAGCUAACGCAUUAAGCACUCCGCCUGGGGAGUACGACCGCAAGGUUGAAACUCAAAGGAAUUGACGGGGGCCCGCACAAGCGGUGGAGCAUGUGGUUUAAUUCGAAG
rnacentral:rRNA from 1 species